rnacentral:rRNA from 1 species
GAUGAACGCUGGCGGCGUGCCUAAUACAUGCAAGUCGAGCGAACGGACGAGAAGCUUGCUUCUCUGAUGUUAGCGGCGGACGGGUGAGUAACACGUGGAUAACCUACCUAUAAGACUGGGAUAACUUCGGGAAACCGGAGCUAAUACCGGAUGAUAUUUUGAACCGCAUGGUUCAAAAGUGAAAGACGGUCUUGCUGUCACUUAUAGACGGAUCCGCGCUGCAUUAGCUAGUUGGUAAGGUAACGGCUUACCAAGGCAACGAUGCAUAGCCGACCUGAGAGGGUGGAUGGCCAGCUGGGAACUGAGACAGGGCCGCGACUCCGAGAGGGGGAAGCGGUAGGGAAUCUUACGGGAUGGAGGAGAGCGGGACAUAGGAACGUCGGGGGAGGGAUGAUGGACUUCGGAUGGUAGAGCGAUGUAAUUAGGAGAGAUGAUAUGUGCAAGUAACUGUGAACAUAUUGACGGUACCGAGUCAGAAAGCCACGGCUAACUACGUG